AGCAGGUGUAGACGUUCAGAUCAGCCUCGGCUAAUACCGCCCGGUAUUAGUCUGUGUAACUGUCAUAAGGCCAUAGAGGGUGAGAGCCCCGUACACUUAAGAGGUGAAA
rnacentral:rRNA from 14 species